GCCUGGAUAUCUCAAUUGGUUAGAGCAUGGGGCUGAGAAUGCCAAGGUUGCAGGUUCGAUCCCUGUGUGGGACA